rnacentral:rRNA from 1 species
AUACGUAGGGGGCAAGCGUUAUCCGGAAUUACUGGGUGUAAAGGGAGCGUAGGCGGGAGUGCAAGUCAGAUGAGAAAUACAUGGGCUCAACCCAUGGGCUGCAUUUGAAACUGCAUUUCUUGAGUGAAGUAGAGGUAAGCGGAAUUCCUGGUGUAGCGGUGAAAUGCGUAGAUAUCAGGAGGAACACCGGUGGGGAAGGCGGCUUACUGGGCUUUUACUGACCCUGAGGAUCGAAAGCGUGGGUAGCAAAAAGGAUUAGUAACCCUGGUACGCCACGCCGUAAACGAUGAAUUCUAGGUGUAGGCGGUAUUGACUCCCUCUGUGCCUCAGUUAACACAAUUAGUAUUCCGCCUGGGGAGUACGGCCGCAAGGUUGAAACUCAAAUGAAUUGACGGGG